UACAGGGGGGGCAAGCGUUGUUCGGAAUUACUGGGCGUAAAGGGCCCGUAGGCGGCCGACUAAGUCCGACGUGAAAUCCCCAGGCUUAACCUGGGAACUGCGUCGGAUACUGGAUGGCUUGAAUUCGGGAGAGGGAUGCAGAAUUCCAGGUGUAGCGGUGAAAUGCGUAGAUAUCUGGAGGAAUACCGGUGGCGAAGGCGGCAUCCUGGACCGACAUUGACGCUGAACGGCGAAAGCUAGGGGAGCAAACGGG
rnacentral:rRNA from 1 species